AAGCAUGAUCCAGCAAUGCCGCGUGUGUGAAGAAGGCUUCGGGUUGUAAAGCACUUUUAUCAGGAGCGAAAUGCCAUGGGCUAAUACCCCGGUGGAGCUGACGGUACCUGAGGAAUAAGCACCGGCUAACUUCGUGCCAGCAGCCGCGGUAAUACGAAGGGKGCAAGCGUUAAUCGGAAUUAUUGGGCGUAAAGGGUGCGUAGGCGGUUCGUUAAGUCUGUUGUGAAAUCCCCGGGCUCAACMUGGGAAUGGCAAUGGAUACUGGCGGGCUAGAGUGUGUCAGAGGAUGGUGGAAUU
rnacentral:rRNA from 1 species